rnacentral:tRNA from 1 species
GCAUGUGGUGUAGUGGUUUUGAUGUUUGACGUGUGCCUAAACAAAUUCAAGAGACCCGGGUUCAAGACCCGAGCAAUGCA